rnacentral:rRNA from 1 species
AAUGCCUACGGGACGCAGCAGUCGGGAAUAUUGCACAAUGGAGGAAACUCUGAUGCAGUGACACCGCGUAUAGGAAGAAGGUUUUCGGAUUGUAAACUAUUUUAGACAGGGACGAAAAAAGACAGUACCUGUAGAAUAAGCUCCGGCUAACUACGUGCCAGCAGCCGCGGUAAUACGUAGGGAGCAAGCGUUAUCCGGAAUUAUUGGGUGUAAAGGGUGCGUAGACGGCGCGGCAAGUCUGAAGUGAGAGGCAGGGGCUUAACCCCUGAACUG